rnacentral:lncRNA from 1 species
GUCAAAACACAACUUGAAGCGGUUUGGGGGACGGUGAACUAUGUACGUCUGUGUGUGUAAGUGUGGUCCCGGUGGCGGAGCGUGGAGAUCUGGUGCGUCAGGUGUGUGGGAGGACCAGGAGGAAGAAUACCGGGGUGUGUUCCUCUAUCAACCCCUCAUCAUCUUCACCAAGCAGAAGAGCCCGGGACACACCGCCUACAGCUUCAAUCACAGCAUCAAGUGUCAGAGUGGAGAGGAGAGGGCAGCCUGGACACACGAUAUCGCUCAGCUCCUUUGGACCCACACCAUACACAAUACAGGUACGACCUCUAAACCCUGGCUUUACCCUCUCAGUCACACAGUUGUCAUGACUGGCCUGCUCGUGUCAGGUUACCGUGGACCACAAUCCUACAGAGAGAUCUCUGACACUCACCAGAGGGAAAGAGAUCGAGAGGUAUUGAGGUGGGGGGGGGGGGGUUAUGACACCUCACGCCCAUCUUAACCUCACUAGGGUAGGGGGCAGCAUUCGGAAUUUUGGAUGAAAAGUGUGCCCAAAGUAAACUGCCUGCUAUUUAGGUCCAGAAGCUAGGAUAUGCAUACAAUUGGUAGAUUUGGAUGGAAAACACUCUAAAGUUUCCAAAACUGUUAAAAUAAUGUCUGUGAGUAUAACAGAACUGAUAUGGCAGGCGAAAUCCAUCCAAGAAGUGCCUUUAUUUUGAAAUGCCUGUUUUUCCAUUGAAAGCCUAUCCACCAUACUUAGACUUAUGACGCAGUUCACGAUCCCUAUGUCUUCCACUACAUGUGGCCAGUCUUUAGGCAUUGUUUCAGGCUUUUACUCUGAAAAAUGAGGGAGGAACACCACUUUCAACGAGAGGACAGUGGACAUUUACAGACAUGAGUGCAGCGCGUGACCGGGACCGCACCUUUCUUGUUUCUCCUUUUCUAUUGACAAAGAUAUUGUCUGGUUGAAAUAUGAUCGAUUAUUUAUGACAAAAACAACCUGAGGAUUGAUUAUAAACAUCGUUUGACAUGUUUUUAUUAACUUUUAUGGUACUUUUUUGAUUUUUCAUCUGCAUGCUGUGACCGCGCUUUGUUCCAAUGGAUUACUGAACAAAACGCACAAACAAAACGGAGGUUUUUGGAUAUAAAGAGGGACAUUAUCGAAC